rnacentral:lncRNA from 1 species
GUCUAAAGAAGGUCAUUUGCACCAAAAUAAAAAAAAAAAAAUGAUUUUUUUCCGAUUUUGAACUUUAACUGGAUUUGCAACCGGAAGUAGUCGAUUCCUUGGCGUAUUUUGAUAAUAAACAUGAUCAGUCGUUAUAUGCCUUUGUGUUGACAGUAUUUGUCAAGGUUUCAGUCCUCAUAACCUGAUAACUCCGUGUUUCAAACCUUGAAGGUAAGCCCACCCC